GCAGAAGCCGCCUCAUCAUCUCAUAAUCAGGGCUUCAUUCGCGCGAUUCGCGCAGCAAGUGUCUCAAUAUUUUCUCCUGUGUGGAACCCGCAGCGGCUCAUCCUCUGUGGUUUACUGAUAGCACGCAAUCUUCCUGAGAUGGAUGCCACUCGUUCCUGUGUUCAUGAACAAGAACAGAUGCCCUUGGAAAACUACUAAAGAUACAGAAGUACUCUCCCUCAAACACACAGCAAAAGGUCUGUCAUGCUUAUUGAGAAUGUAAGCCGAGUGAUUAAAGGACUGCCCCUGACAUCGCCGUUCAGUGCAACAUCCCAUUAUACCUGCAAAUCAACCUGAAAAUCAUCAUCAAUAACUAUUGUGAAG